UACGUAGGGGGCUAGCGUUGUCCGGAAUCAUUGGGCGUAAAGAGCGUGUAGGCGGCCAGGUAGGUCCGCUGUGAAAGUCCGAGGCUCAACCUCGGAAUGUCGGCGGAAACCCUCUGGCUAGAGUCCGGAAGAGGAGAGUGGAAUUCCCGGUGUAGCGGUGAGAUGCGCAGAUAUCAGGAAGAACACCAAUGGCGAAAGCAGCUCUCUGGGACGGUACUGACGCUGAGACGCGAAAGCGUGGGGAGCGAACAGG
rnacentral:rRNA from 1 species